rnacentral:rRNA from 1 species
GAUGAACGCUGGCGGCGUGCUUAACACAUGCAAGUCGAACGAAGCAUUUGCGACAGAUUUUUUCGGAAUGAAGUUGCUUAUGACUGAGUGGCGGACGGGUGAGUAACGCGUGGGUAACCUGCCUUGUACUGGGGGAUAGCAGCUGGAAACGGCUGGUAAUACCGCAUAAGCGCACAAUGUUGCAUGACAUGGUGUGAAAAACUCCGGUGGUAUAAGAUGGACCCGCGUCUGAUUAGCUAGUUGGUGAGAUAACAGCCCACCAAGGCGACGAUCAGUAGCCGACCUGAGAGUGUGACCGGCCACAUUGAGACUGAGACACGGCCCAGACUCCUACGGGAGGCAGCAGUGGGGAAUAUUGCACAAUGGAGGAAACUCUGAUGCAGCGACGCCGCGUGAGUGAAGAAGUAAUUCGUUAUGUAAAGCUCUAUCAGCAGGGAAGAUAGUGACGGUACCUGACGAAGAAGCUCCGGCUAAAUACGUG